rnacentral:piRNA from 1 species
UGCUGAAUGGGCCGUGUCAGGUACAGGUGU